rnacentral:rRNA from 1 species
UACGAAGGGUGCAAACGUUGCUCGGAAUUAUUGGGCGUAAAGCGCACGUAGGCGGCUCCGCAAGUCGGAUGUGAAAUCCCUCGGCUCAACCAAGGAAGUGCAUCCGAAACUGCAGAGCUUGAGUACCAAAGAGGAUCGCGGAAUUCCCGGUGUAGAGGUGAAAUUCGUAGAUAUCGGGAGGAACACCAGUGGCGAAGGCGGCGAUCUGGGUGGAUACUGACGCUGAGGCGCGAAAGCUAGGGGAGCGAACGGG